rnacentral:rRNA from 1 species
UUAAGUUAUUAAGGGCGCACGGUGGAUGCCUUGGCACUAGAAGCCGAUGAAGGACGUUACUAACGACGAUAUGCUUUGGGGAGCUGUAAGUAAGCUUUGAUCCAGAGAUUUCCGAAUGGGGAAACCCAGCAUGAGUUAUGUCAUGUUAUCGAUAUGUGAAUACAUAGCAUAUCAGAAGGCACACCCGGAGAACUGAAACAUCUUAGUACCCGGAGGAAGAGAAAGAAAAUUCGAUUCCCUUAGUAGCGGCGAGCGAAACGGGAAGAGCCCAAACCAACAAGCUUGCUUGUUGGGGUUGUAGGACACUCUAUACGGAGUUACAAAGGACGACAUUAGAUGAAUCAUCUGGAAAGAUGAAUCAAAGAAGGUAAUAAUCCUGUAGUCGAAAAUGUUGUCUCUCUUGAGUGGAUCCUGAGUACGACGGAGCACGUGAAAUUCCGUCGGAAUCUGGGAGGACCAUCUCCUAAGGCUAAAUACUCUCUAGUGACCGAUAGUGAACCAGUACCGUGAGGGAAAGGUGAAAAGCACCCCGGAAGGGGAGUGAAAUAGAACCUGAAACCGUGUGCUUACAAGUAGUCAGAGCCCGUUAAUGGGUGAUGGCGUGCCUUUUGUAGAAUGAACCGGCGAGUUACGAUUUGAUGCAAGGUUAAGCAGUAAAUGUGGAGCCGUAGCGAAAGCGAGUCUGAAUAGGGCGUUUAGUAUUUGGUCGUAGACCCGAAACCAGGUGAUCUACCCUUGGUCAGGUUGAAGUUCAGGUAACACUGAAUGGAGGACCGAACCGACUUACGUUGAAAAGUGAGCGGAUGAACUGAGGGUAGCGGAGAAAUUCCAAUCGAACCUGGAGAUAGCUGGUUCUCUCCGAAAUAGCUUUAGGGCUAGCCUCAAGUGAUGAUUAUUGGAGGUAGAGCACUGUUUGGACGAGGGGCCCCUCUCGGGUUACCGAAUUCAGACAAACUCCGAAUGCCAAUUAAUUUAACUUGGGAGUCAGAACAUGGGUGAUAAGGUCCGUGUUCGAAAGGGAAACAGCCCAGACCACCAGCUAAGGUCCCAAAAUAUAUGUUAAGUGGAAAAGGAUGUGGCGUUGCCCAGACAACUAGGAUGUUGGCUUAGAAGCAGCCAUCAUUUAAAGAGUGCGUAAUAGCUCACUAGUCGAGUGACACUGCGCCGAAAAUGUACCGGGGCUAAACAUAUUACCGAAGCUGUGGAUUGUCCUUUGGACAAUGGUAGGAGAGCGUUCUAAGGGCGUUGAAGCAUGAUCGUAAGGACAUGUGGAGCGCUUAGAAGUGAGAAUGCCGGUGUGAGUAGCGAAAGACGGGUGAGAAUCCCGUCCACCGAUUGACUAAGGUUUCCAGAGGAAGGCUCGUCCGCUCUGGGUUAGUCGGGUCCUAAGCUGAGGCCGACAGGCGUAGGCGAUGGAUAACAGGUUGAUAUUCCUGUACCACCUAUAAUCGUUUUAAUCGAUGGGGGGACGCAGUAGGAUAGGCGAAGCGUGCGAUUGGAUUGCACGUCUAAGCAGUAAGGCUGAGUAUUAGGCAAAUCCGGUACUCGUUAAGGCUGAGCUGUGAUGGGGAGAAGACAUUGUGUCUUCGAGUCGUUGAUUUCACACUGCCGAGAAAAGCCUCUAGAUAGAAAAUAGGUGCCCGUACCGCAAACCGACACAGGUAGUCAAGAUGAGAAUUCUAAGGUGAGCGAGCGAACUCUCGUUAAGGAACUCGGCAAAAUGACCCCGUAACUUCGGGAGAAGGGGUGCUCUUUAGGGUUAACGCCCAGAAGAGCCGCAGUGAAUAGGCCCAAGCGACUGUUUAUCAAAAACACAGGUCUCUGCUAAACCGUAAGGUGAUGUAUAGGGGCUGACGCCUGCCCGGUGCUGGAAGGUUAAGAGGAGUGGUUAGCUUCUGCGAAGCUACGAAUCGAAGCCCCAGUAAACGGCGGCCGUAACUAUAACGGUCCUAAGGUAGCGAAAUUCCUUGUCGGGUAAGUUCCGACCCGCACGAAAGGCGUAACGAUUUGGGCACUGUCUCAACGAGAGACUCGGUGAAAUCAUAGUACCUGUGAAGAUGCAGGUUACCCGCGACAGGACGGAAAGACCCCGUGGAGCUUUACUGUAGCCUGAUAUUGAAAUUCGGCACAGCUUGUACAGGAUAGGUAGGAGCCUUUGAAACGUGAGCGCUAGCUUACGUGGAGGCGCUGGUGGGAUACUACCCUAGCUGUGUUGGCUUUCUAACCCGCACCACUUAUCGUGGUGGGAGACAGUGUCAGGCGGGCAGUUUGACUGGGGCGGUCGCCUCCUAAAAGGUAACGGAGGCGCUCAAAGGUUCCCUCAGAAUGGUUGGAAAUCAUUCAUAGAGUGUAAAGGCAUAAGGGAGCUUGACUGCGAGACCUACAAGUCGAGCAGGGUCGAAAGACGGACUUAGUGAUCCGGUGGUUCCGCAUGGAAGGGCCAUCGCUCAACGGAUAAAAGCUACCCCGGGGAUAACAGGCUUAUCUCCCCCAAGAGUUCACAUCGACGGGGAGGUUUGGCACCUCGAUGUCGGCUCAUCGCAUCCUGGGGCUGUAGUCGGUCCCAAGGGUUGGGCUGUUCGCCCAUUAAAGCGGUACGCGAGCUGGGUUCAGAACGUCGUGAGACAGUUCGGUCCCUAUCCGUCGUGGGCGUAGGAAAUUUGAGAGGAGCUGUCCUUAGUACGAGAGGACCGGGAUGGACAUACCUCUGGUGUACCAGUUGUCGUGCCAACGGCAUAGCUGGGUAGCUAUGUGUGGACGGGAUAAGUGCUGAAAGCAUCUAAGCAUGAAGCCCCCCUCAAGAUGAGAUUUCCCAACUUCGGUUAUAAGAUCCCUCAAAGAUGAUGAGGUUAAUAGGUUCGAGGUGGAAGCAUGGUGACAUGUGGAGCUGAUGAAUACUAAUCGAUCGAAGACUUAAUCAA